rnacentral:rRNA from 1 species
UACGUAGGGGGCUAGCGUUGUCCGGAAUUAUUGGGCGUAAAGCGCGUGUAGGCGGCUUUGCAAGUCGGGGUGUGAAAGCCCUCAGCUCAACUGAGGAAGUGCGCCCGAAACUGCAGAGCUUGAGUGCCGGAGAGGGUGGCGGAAUUCCCCAAGUGAGGAGGUCGAAAGUUCGUAGAUAUGGGGGAGGGAACACCGGGUGG